rnacentral:rRNA from 1 species
AUUGAACGCUGGCGGCAGGCCUAACACAUGCAAGUCGAGCGAGCGGCGGACGGGUGAGUAACACGUGGGAACCUACCCAUCAGAGGGGGAUAACACUUGGAAACAGGUGCUAAUACCGCAUACUGAUGGAUGGACCCGCGGUGCAUUAGCUAGUUGGUGAGGUAACGGCUCACCAAGGCCACGAUGCAUAGCCGACCUGAGAGGGUGAUCGGCCACACUGGGACUGAGACACGGCCCAGACUCCUACGGGAGGCAGCAGUGGGGAAUAUUGCACAAUGGGCGCAAGCCUGAUGCAGCCAUGCCGCGUGUAUGAAGAAGGCCUUAGGGUUGUAAAGUACUUUCAGCGGGGAGGCGUUACCCGCAGAAGAAGCACCGGCUAACUCCGUGCCAGCAGCCGCGGUAAUUC